UGGACGUUGUGCCCAAGAUGGCUGAGAAUUUUAGGCAGUUCUGCACUGGAGAAUUCAGAAAAGAUGGGGUUCCGAUAGGCUACAAAGGGAGCACCUUCCACAGGGUCAUAAAGGAUUUCAUGAUUCAGGGUGGGGAUUUUGUUAAUGGAGAUGGUACUGGAGUUGCCAGUAUUUACCGGGAGCCAUUUGCAGAUGAAAAUUUUAAACUUAGACACUCAGCUCCAGGACUGCUUUCCAUGGCAAACAGUGGUCCCAGUACAAAUGACUGCCAGUUCUUCAUCACCUGCUCUAAAUGUGAUUGGCUGGAUGGGAAACAUGUAGUGUUUGGAAAAAUCAUUGAUGGACUUCUAGUGAUGCGAAAGAUCGAGAAAGUUCCCACAGGCCCCAACAAUAAGCCCAAGCUGCCUGUGGUUAUCUCACAGUGUGGGGAGAUGUAGUCCAGAGCAAGACUGAUCAGACCUUCACCUCUCUGCCAUUGUGGGCCUUCCUUGCUCUGGGUGAUGCUCUUGAGUAAGAUAAUCCGGAUUGGCCCCUGUGUUUGCUUCCCUGCCUGCUGCGGCCCUUUUUGAUCAAGACCUUGGAAGUGUCACAGAUUCAGAACCCAAGUUUUCUGUUUAAGUUUUCAAUUGUAAAUUAAGUUUUGUUUUGUUUUGGUAAAAAAAAAA